UUGGGCCCACCCUGGGUGUAGCCCUGGCCAGGCUCUUGUCCUGCCCAAGGUGUGCCCUAAAGGCCUUUCAAUAAAUCCCUGCUUUAUUCUCUACCUCUGCCCAGUCUCUGUCCAGAUCCCCCUGCCCAAGGCAUCCCUGUCCCUCUCUCUCUCCUGCAGGGAUCCGUGCACAGCCCCUGUGCCAUUCCCUGCUCCCACUGCCCCCUGCCCUGUGGGUGGGUUGGUGGUGCUGGCACCUGAACUCUCCAGGGCUCAGAGGGGCCCGGGGAGCUCCCAGCUGGCAGUGUCCCCGUGCAGGCAGUGGUGCCACGUCCCCAGAGCUCCCUGGGACCGUGGAGGAUGGAAAUGAUUCCACUGGGAGCUCUCAUUCCCCAGGCUGUGCUGGAUCCUCUGCCAGCAGCACUGCUCACCUGUGCUGUGGGAACAGGCACUCACAGAUGGGUUUUAGGGUGUUUUUCUCCUGAAAUUGCCACUGGUAAUUUUUGGGAAGGGGAGAUUUUUUUUUGUAGUGUCCAGUGAGAAUGGUGAUAAGAGGUUAUGAAGAUGUUAAUUAAGGAAGGCUUUCCACUUUGACAUUAUCGGUGAAUGUCGUUAAUUCUGUGACUGUUCUCUUGACAAUCACCUUGGCUCUCCUCUGCUCCUUGGCUGCUCCUGCCAUGACCUGAUUGAGGUUUUAGAGCUUUCCAACCCUGACCUAAGAACAACCACUUAAUGUCUCUUAACUGUCUCUUAAGAGGGACCCAGGGAUGUUGAUGUAAUUGAAAUAUUAAGAGAAAAAAAAAAAAAAAAGAUUUCACAUUAUCUGGAACAAUUGUAUUGUUAUAAUUCUGCACUGUAGCCCCACAUUUUUGAUACUAUUUCCUUCAUACUCUCAGUCAGCAUCCUUGAGCUGGUCCCACAUUACACAUCUGUAUUUCAGUGGGAAAUCAAGGUUUUGUGGGUAAUACAAAAUGUGCAUUUGUAUGGCCCACUUUAAAUCCUAAUGUUACCUUCUGUGGGAGGGAAAUCCUGGCUUGGUUUUAAUAACCAAAUAAUAUGUUUGAAGAAUCAUUCCCAAGGCUUUGAGUACCUGGAAAAUGGGAGUGGGGGAAAGUAAACCUUCCAUUCCCUCAUCUUCUCUCUACCCCUUCCUGAAAGCCCCAGCACCAUUCAGGGUCUGUGAUGCUGAGCAAACCUGGAGUACCCUGUGUCUGUGGGGCAUCCCCCUGGCCUGGGGUUGUUUGGCUUGGCUGCCAACCCCUUCCAUAACCUUUAGUUUAUUGUCUCUUAGUGCUGGGUGGAGAUCUGUGCUGGUACUGCUCUGGUAUUUACAUAUCUAAUACAAAAAAGGGAUUUUAAUUGGUGUUUAUCCAGUUGAUGAUGGCUGGGAUGGCGGGUGUUUAUUCUAGAUUAUUAGUAUUUAUUCUAGAUUAUUAGUAUUUAUUCCAAUCCUUGCCCUGAAUCUAAUGGCUUUAUUGUACUUGGUAUUAUAUCACGAUAGGGCAAAAAAAAAAAGUGUUUCCAGGAGCCUGGGCUACCAAGGUGAGACCUAUGUGGAAGGUUUCAUGAUUAUAAGAUGGAGUAAGAGCUCAAGGAAUAAUUUCUGGUGGGAUAAUUCCCUUCCCUCUCAGCAGCCACACUCCCACGGACAGCAGAACAUUUGUAUAUAAAAAAAAAAAAAAAAAAUCCUGAUUCCUCUUUCUUCAUCCUGGACCUGGAGCUCUCACUGAAUGCUUUAUCAGCCUUUGCAGAAAGCUUCUUGCUCCCUGCUGAGGUCAGAAAACCAUUAGUCAUCUGCUGCUGUGCCUGCCUUGCCUUUAACAUUUGAUGUCUCAUCUGCUGCCCCGGUCCUGCCCGUGUUCAUGUGCUGCACAUAAGCCCAGUCAUUAGAUUAUUAUGAAAUCAUGGCACGUCUUUCACAUGAGUGGCUUCUUUGGGGCUGUUUUCAGCCACUAUCAAGAACCAUUUCUGGUGCUGCUGCUGUUGCUCGUCUUAUGUAAACUGUUUGUUCCUGCUCAAUGGCUUCAUUUCAGGGCAAUUCUACUUGAAAAGGGAAUUAAAAGAUGAUGGAAGAAAUAAAACCCCGAGUGGCUGGAUGGGGAAGGGGAUGGAGAUGUCACGGAGCAUUCGGUGCCUCUGGGCAGUAGCAAAGCCUGCCUGGUGUAAAUGUAAAUCAGCAAUCCCAGAUGCUGUGGAUUCACUCCCCUGAGCUGCCCCAGCCCCUCUGGAGGCAGGAACCCCUCAGUCCUUCCCUGCCCCAUCAAAGGGAGAUAAAGUUUUCCAGAAUUUCUGCAGAUUGAGAGAUGGGAAUUCACGGCACAAGUGCGAGUUGUUCUCUGCCUGUUCCUAACAUUUGCAUUAGACAAUCAGUCUCUAAGAACAAUUGUUGAGCUCUUCAGUCCCUUUAUUUUUUGAAAGGUCACGGAAUUAAUGAGGUUUUUGCAUACUUUGUGUGACUGAAGUGGCAGCUUUGGUUGCACCCUGCCAGAGGGAAGGUUUCCAGGAGGGUUUUUGUGGUCAAGCCGUUGGAUUUGGGAUGCUGAGGGGUGGCAGGGCUCAGGGCCAGGACAGGGUGGCUGGGCCCCUUGUUGCUGUCAGAUGUGAGGAGGGAGGAUGAUUAAUGAGGAAGCACAGAGGGAGGCAAUAAAUUUCCUGAUUCUGUGCCCUCUUUUCUUUAUGUUGGCUGUCUGGACGUGGCUGUGAAGUGUUUGAGUCCAGGAGGACCUGGGCCCUGCAAGGUUCUGCUCACAGGAGAAGUCCCAGCAGCAGCACAAAGCUUACAGGACACGUGCUUGGAUGACUGUAAUGCCAAAGGCUUUUAAUUUUUGGAUGUAUUUCUUAACCUUUAUAUACAAAAAGUAUUCAAGUGGUAUUAAUGAAAAAGGGUAAUGAGAUUCAUUACACUUAGAGACAGCUUUGUAGUCCUGAGAUUAGGAGGAAAUUAUUAUUUGUUGAGGUUCAUUCAGUAGUGAAAUUCCAAUUCACAUUGCUGGAAUUAGAAGAUGCUCUCAUUAAACUCUCUCUUAUUGAUGGA